rnacentral:lncRNA from 1 species
UUAGGAAGAUUAGACGGUGGGUUGGGGUCGGCAGGGUUGGAACUGGGAAGACCACGGCGAGGGGUCGGAUCGCAGGGGUCGGAAGACCUGGAGGUUGAACACUUAGGCUUGGAAAAACUAAGACAGAUGAUUAGGGGCUCGGAUUAAGAUUGACGCGAAGGAUUUUUGUCCGAGGCCGUUACACCUCCGCCGCCCACUCCCGAGGAGGGCCCGCACUGCUCAGGGCCACCACUACCCUACUGCUCGAGGUCUGUCGCGCGCUUGAGUUUAGCCGCAAAAAAAAUGCACAUAGAGAGAGAGAAAGAGAGAGAAAGGGAGGGAGAAUAUAGGGCCUACAUGUCAGGUCCACG